rnacentral:lncRNA from 1 species
AAGCAGUCAUACACUAAAAACUUGAUAAUAUAAAUAGCUGCAUCAUUACCACUUCAUCUGAGUAUGUCAUUUAUUACAUAUUUUGAUAGCUGUCAUGAGGGUAAAAAUGACUAUAAUUAUAGUUAUUAAAAAUUACAUAAACAACAUAGUCUUCAGUUAUUUUAUUUGCCUCUAAAAUUUUAAUUAACAGUUGUUCUUGAAGUAAUUUCAGUGUAUAAGUUUGUAUUAUAAUUAUGUGCACUGGACAUUACACUAGAUAUAUGGUCAUUUUACAACUAUCAAUGCUAUUUCCUAUUUCUCUUUGUAUAUUUCUGUCUUCAAUGUAAAAAAGGAAAAAUGUUUUUCAAUGAAACCAAUGAUAAUCUUUCUUAAUAGCUAUUUUUGUAUUUAAAAAACUAGAGUAUUUCAACAAUUAUAUUUGUUGAACUUAUUUGUCCUCACUUAUUAAAUAAUUGUACUGUUUUAGGGGAAAGGCAUUAAAAUGAGAUUAUAAAUAGGAAUAAGAAGGGAAGGGAAAGAAGAUGAGCCCAGAGUAGUGAUUAAGUGAUCUGGCCCAGGAUUCCUGGAAGCCAAAGAAAAUGGCUUUUGGCACUUGGAUUAAAAAGGUCUUUCAUAGAGCAUUUGUAUAGGUGACACUGAAUUGUAACAACACUUUCUAUGUUUUAAUCGAUACAGAGUACUCCGUAAAUUAUAAAAACACUAUACAAAGAUGAUAUUAUAAUAAACUAUUGUGUGUAUAUUCUUGAACUUCAUGUUCACUCCAUUUUUAUCAAUUUAACUUAUAAAGACCAUCCUUUAAUACAUGCUAGCCUGAGAUUAAGUAGUAUCUAUGAGAUACAAAGCCUGAAGUAAAAUCUUCAUUAAAACUGAACACUACUGAUGCUGGGCACGGUGGGACCCAUCUGUAAUUCCAACAAACUUGAGAGUCUGAGGCAGGAGGAUCAAAAGUUCAAGGCCUGCUCAGCAACUUAAUGAGACCCUUAGCAAUUUAGAGAGAUCCUGUCUCAAAAUAAAAUGUAAAAAGGGCUGGGGAUGCAGCUCAGUGGUAAAGUACCCUGGGGUUCAAUCCUGAGUACUGCAAAAAAAAGAAAAACCCAAAUCCACUGAUCACUGUUACUCAACCUCUCUGAUUUUGCAAUAUAAAAUCAUACACAUGCACACAACACAGAAAUACAUAAAACAGUCACUUCCUUUAGGCUCUUCAGAGGCAAAGGUGAAUUACAUAGGAAGAUAUUAAUCACCUCUGAAGUACAGUUUUUCAAUUUUAAAUACAUUUUUUCCAGCAGCACUUAUAGCUGAAUAAAAAAGACUUAAAAUGAACAUUAAAAUUUUCUUCUAGUAAUUUACAAAAAUAUUUAUUCAAAUCCUAAUUUUAUUUUUCCAAGAAUUUUUGCAUUGCCCACUUUAACCAGAGUCUGUCCACUUCUUUAUUAAGAAUGUGAACUUAUUUUAUUUCUAUAGAGCUGGACUCUUCAACCUAGAUUAUAAAAUUUAUAUAUAUAUAUAAUAUCAUAAUAUAUAUAUAUAUAUAUAUAUAUAUAUAUAUAUAUAUAUAUAUAUGGAAUUUAUUUCUAUUUCAUGAUUUUGGAUUAACUCCAUUAACUAAUCUUAUGGAGAAUAAGUCUUCUCUCCCCAGUAGGCAAACUCACCUUCCAUCUGUUCCAUUUUAAAUGAUUGAUAGCCCCUUUGUGCUGAAAAGUGUUUCCCUGAUUUAAGUACAUCUUAGGAGUCAGCUGAGUGAAAUCCUAAGGAAUUCCUUCAUUCAUUUAAAGUGCCUCCGAUGUUCUGGGCUAGGCUUUCAGAAGACAGGGAUAAGACAUGGCCCCUUAAGUUCAAACCCUUUUAAUUCUGCUACGGUGUGGAAGAGUACCUGAAACAAAGUGUCAUGGGGCCUUGCUAUACCGAAUAUUCUAAUGGGGGGUUCAAGAAAAAGGGAAGCGAAAUCAGAAAAGUCUUCCUUAGGUGACAAUACUUGACGUAAGCACUAAAAAUGAGUGGAUGGAGAGGGGAAGGGGAGAUUUCCAGUCAGGGAGAUUGAUAAAAAAAAAUCCUCACAACGUGUAGAAUUUUGAAACAGUUCUAUAUAACAAGAAGUAAUAAUUGGGAAGGGGAAGUUUUCCACCACUGUGUGUAAAAGCUCACAAUGUUGAUUAUGGUUUUGCUAAUAAACUGUGCAACCAUCAUACUAUGAGUUAGAUUAGUACCAAAUGAAAGCAUCAAGUCUAGUCUUCGUUCUGAAAAUUGUCAAAAUUUCAGUGACUUAACCAUGUGUAAAUUUAGUAUUGCUUAUGCAGAUCCUGUUGUAUGUUCUAGAACUCUUCUGGCAGCUGUAUUCUGGGCAGUAGUUUUAGCAUUCCAGUGUCCUUCAGUCUUGUCCAACCUCCAUCUUAAAAUAUACUUCCACAUUGCAGCAGCAGGGGACAGAGUAUCAAGACAUGAGAACUGAUUCUUCAGUGACUUCACCAGGAAACCAAAGAAAGUCACACAGUCAUCUCUAACUUCAGUGGGGUAGAGGGUAUAAUCCUUCCCUAAGCCUAGGACAAGAAGGAGGACAGGAAAAUGGCAUGGAAAAUACUUUUAGCAGUUAUGAAAUGUUACAGAAAUAUUUUAUGUUUAAGAUUAGCCUAAUGGGGUCCAUAAUAUUACUAGUAGGUCAUAAAUUAUGAUUAAAAGUAAUUAAUGUUCUAAUCUUGAUCUUAUGAUUGAGAGUGAUACACAUUAAUUAGUUUCACUAUUACUCAAUAUGUGUAUCAUUGUCUGUGCAAGCAACUGUAAAAGCUAGUCAUUUAGAGCAUGAAAUGAUUCAUGAAAUGGUUUAAUCUGAGCUAUUGUUUAAGUCUAAAAUCCAGAGGCAUUUAAAUGAAUUUCUUUGAUACUAGUCAAUAUUUAAAAGCAACUUUUGGUGAUAAGAUUCCAAUACUGUAGUUUAAAUGUCACUUUAUUUUCAUUUCAUAUGCAAGUGUGAACUAAACUAUAUUAUGCACUGGAAACAUACUAAGGUUGCUUAUUAUAGACAUAGGACAUAUUACUAGGCAGCACUUAGAAUUUUAAUUUCAGCAAGAUUUUUGGUUGCUACAAUGGAUAAAAUGCUAAAGAGGCAUUUCAUCAAGCAUGGAUCCUAAAUAUCAGUUUAACACGGAUCAAUUUAAAUUUUCAUAACUGUACUUGUUAUCCUAUCAGGGUGAAGUGGCUAAUAGAUUUGUUAAUUGAUAUAAUAUUACAGCAGAGGUCCCCUUCUGGAUGUUCCUUCAUAGAGGGUUUCUCCAACACUUCAUUCCAAAUAGUUUUAUUUUUAAAAUUGUAGCUUCCAGUUAAUUUCUUAGUUUCACAUUAUUUUCUGAAAGCAAGCUUUUGGACCCAUCAAAAUGACUUACACCUUAAAACAACUGGCACUGAGAGUAUAUAAAUGAUAUGCAAAUAUACCUGUUUUGUCAGGUGCAAAGAAUCAUCCAAAGAGCAUGCAAUGUGGGCACACAGCUGUGUCUACAUGAUUCCUUUACUCUUGUAAAACUUAACAAGAGAUGAAUGAAAUCUAUCAUCCGACUCUUAGUUUAUAGAUUGUCACCAAAUAAUGUUCAGUCCUCACGUCACAGCUGUUACAGGUUUAAAUCAAAACAAAAAUAUGCUUCGGAAGACUAGGCAAAGUUAAACCUACCAGGAUUAGAAAGAUCACAGUGUCACAGGUGUUUUAACACAAUAGUAACACAGAGGUAACACCCCCGCCCACCCCACCCCCACUCCCAAAUACUGGAUGUCGAAGGUCAGACUUCAGGGAGGUUAAGCUGCAGGCCCUGUUCUGCGAGUUGCUUUCCGUACUUCCGCAGCGAUCGCUCUGGGGUUCUCCAAGUGCAGGUACCUUCCCUUUCUCCCCACCUGUUAAGCUUGGGCGCGCCAGGCUUUCUGAAGCGACGCCCUAGCGGUGGGAAUGGGAAUGCUCCGCAUCGGAGCUUCCUUUCCGUUUGACUUCCCCAGCAGUACCCCCAAAACCCUGAAGCCCUGGGGGAAGGAAAUUCCAACUCGCUCGGUGCACACUCCCGCCCCGUUCCUCUCUCCGGCUCGCUGCCUCCCUCGCUCCGAUGCCGCCGACCUGUUCCUCACUUCUGGGCGGCGGUGCGGCGGAGAAGGUUGCGAGUUCCCGGACUCAGGGCAGGGACAUGGGGCAGGGUGAGUGAAUCGAAUUGGGGUGAGGCUCCGUAGCGCUCCACGAACGCCUGGCUUCCCGCCCUCGGUGCAGUGGGAGGCGGGACGCGGCCCUGCCCGGCCCGCGCUGGGCUGAGCCUCGGAGACGCUGCAGCUUUGCCCUCCAUUCAAGUCCUGGCUUGAGAGCCAAGCUGCAAGCGCGCGGGCCGGGGGAGGGAAGAGUAGGAGAGGAAGCUGCUAGAGAGAACAGGCGAGCCACUGUCUCCUUUGAAAAGAAAGUAGGAGCCCUGGGUGGGAAAAGAAAGAUUAGCCCUCCCAACUUUUCUUCGGGAAAAGUUUUCCCUGGGCGUUUUGUUUGUGCAAACUCUGCCGGAGCAGCCCGGGCUCCGUUGCCGGCGUGGCGGCGGUGCCUAUGCGCCUGGCCCCGCUUCUUUUCCAGCCUGGGCAGCUCCUCUUCCUCCACGACAGGCGCCAAAUGGCUACCCAGUAAACCCCACCGGGCGGGGGCUGCAGCGCCGCCUCCUGCCGUCUUGGCCUCCGGCUUCGGCCGCUAGAAUCGGUGGGGAUUGCGGUGGCGCCUGCGGGCUGGGAACCUGGUCCCGCAGGUGGAAGCGUACCCGGGAGGCGGGCCCGCCCCGGGCUGAAGUGGGUCGGGCUGGCUCUUGACAGUUGGCCAGCCCCGCUCCGGCCUGGGAAGGCGCGCGUCCCGCCCUGACCGGCCGGCCUCUCCCACCCCAGCAGUGACGCG